UUUUUUUUUUCGACUUCUCAAAGUCUUUUUUUUUUUUUUAAGACCCCUUUUUUAGCUUUUCAAAGAUUUUUUUUUUUUCAAUUUUCCAAAAGCCAAACUUCUCUUCGUUUCAGGACUUUUUUACUUUUCAAAAAUUUUUUUAACCCUUUAUAAAGCUUUUUUUUUUUAAAUCAUUUCCUCACCAAUAAAAAAAAACUCUGUUCUCUCAUUCAAUUUCAAAACCAGUCUCCGGUGACGAUGCCCAAGCCGCCGCCUUACCCCGCCGCCCACUCCGGCCGGCGUCAUUUGACUCCCAAAAUUUCGUCGUAGCUUAUCCUCAACGCCUCCAUUACAGAUUCUUGCUCGGACCUCCACAAAAACACUCCUCAACCGGUAGAUCUGAGAUUGAAGCCCAAAUGGUCAAACCAUCGUAACUCUUCCUUCCACCGUCCCAUCUGUCCUAAACCAAAAUAUGUUGUUCUACUCCAUUCUUUCCUCGUUUUCAACCGUUGGGCUCGUCCCAAAAUGAGCCCUUCCCGCCGUUCAUCUCUUUUCUUGUUUUUUUGUUUUGACAAAACAAGCCCUUUUUUAAUCUGAUGCAGCGCCGCUGUUCACGCCAUCGCUGGCCUCGCUGUCUCGCCUGGCGUUGACGGCUUCCUCUGUUGUGAUUUUUGGUGUUGUGGGAUUUUUUUGUUUUGCGAUUGAUGUGGGUUUUUAGGUGUUAGUAUGGUGGGUAUAUGGCAGUGAUGGGGUUAGGGGUGCUUGUGGGUGGUUGCUUGGGUGGUGGUCGGUUCAGGAGGGGCGUAUGGUGAAGGGUCGAGGCUCUCAUGAAUUAAGCAACCAUAACCCUCUUUGAUAAGGUAGCACUAAUAAUCCCUCAUGAAUUGUGAUCUUGGAUAUUCAAAUAUAAUCUCUACAACGAAGCAUAAUUUUGGAAAAAAGAAAAAAAAACUAACAGAUAAAUAUUUCUAUUCCAAGUAAAUGAAUAUUUAGCUCAAUUACCUUAUUUAAACAGUUGGAUUUGAACCUUCAUUCCAUCUUAAUUAUGUUUGAUAAAAAAAAUAAUUUAUCUCCUAAAAAGAACAGUUGUCAUAAAAAAUGUGUAAUUCAUAUAACAAUAUAGUAUUUUACAUUAAUUAUCGAUGAAUAAUCGACUCUUCCAAUAAAACAACCAGCUAUCAGCCCAAACCAACAAUGAAUGGCGAAUCCAAUUCUAACCCCAACCCACCAAAACUGACUUUGCUUUGAUUGGAGAAGGAAAUUUCCGAAGAAUGAUGAAACCUUUCAUGAUCAUCCAAUAUCC
rnacentral:lncRNA from 1 species